rnacentral:misc_RNA from 1 species
AUUGGAUGUUGAACGUUGCAUUGUUGACAAAAGUAAAAUGUCAAACAAAUAAUAAAUAACCCUUCUAUAAUAAAUUAAGUAAAAAGGGAUGGAACCUUCGGAAUUUAAGCUAGAAGAGCCCGAAUAUGUAGACAUAAGUGAACUAAACUUAGAUAUGACUAUUAGUUCUGGGGAGAUAACUCCUUCCAGUAAUAUACUUGAACAGUUCUAUACGUGUGCGCUCUGCAACUAUAAAACCAAGACUAAAAGUCUUUUAAUAACCCAUGGACUGACCCACCAGGAAACCGAGAAUAUUUUUGAAAAACAUGCAGGAACUCAUUUAUCCAAUAGAAUAUUCAAAUGUGGGGUAUGUAGCUUCGAGACCAGAGUUCAAGACACUUUUGAAAAACACUUGCAAACUCACAAUCCUACGAAGCCCAUUAAGAGGUAUUUGUGUUACAGCUGCGAUUACGAAACUAGAGAUAAAAGUGCUUUGCAAAAGCACGAGCUGACACAUAAGAGUAUCGAUGAAGUAGAGCAUUAUAAAUGUGAGCAGUGCAAUUUUGUUACAAAGCAUCUUGUAUCGAUGCAUAAUCAUGUGCUCAAGAUUCAUAAUAAGGAUAAGAUUGAGAAGUUUCAAUGUCCGGACUGUGACUUUAGUACAUAUCAUAAGGUUUCUCUUAAAAGUCAUAGUUUAACCCACAAAAAGCCUGGUGAAGUGCCGAUGUACAAAUGCUCAGAAUGCCCAUACGAAACUAAAAAUAAACAGUUCCUAUCCAAUCACAUGAAAAAACAUUUGGACAGCGUCGCGUGCCCGAUAUGCCAAAAGAUGAUUGUUCACCGAGGGAUGCCUCUGCACCUAAAAACCCACGAUCCCAAAGAAGCCGUUAAGAAAUAUCAGUGUAAACAAUGCGAAUACUCCUCAAUGUAUUAUGGUAACUUAAGCCGUCACGUGAAGUUGAUUCAUUGCAGCAAAGAGGAGGUUAAUUAUAAACAGUGUCCGAACUGCCCAUUUAAAUCAUUAGAGAAUGCACGACUGAAACGCCAUAUAAAAGAGAUGCAUUCGGAAGACGCCCCACAGUUCAAAUGUAACUUUUGUAGCUUUUCAUCAAAGUUCAAUUCUUGCCUUAAGAGACAUAUAGAUGCGGCCCAUAUCAAUACGGAUCCCGUGGAAUGUCCUAUAUGUCAUAAACCUUCUGCGAAUAUUUAUACUUUAAGGAUACAUAUGAAACGCCACAGGGAGCAAGGAGAGACCCAGAAAUGUCCCGAGUGUUUGUACCAAACCAAAUAUGAGAACCGAUUUAAGGCUCAUAUGAUUACCAAGCAUGGGACAUUGAAAGAGGGUCUAGAGGUUCCAGCUUCAACGAAUAAUACAUAAAACAGGACAUUCCAAAGGCACGGAGGCCAUAUUAUAGCGAAUUUCUUCUAAAUGCAUUGCCCUUUGGACUCGAUGUGCGUGCUGUUGAUUAAAAUCAGUCCUUGGACGCCACUCUGGAACCAUCUGCCAUGCCAGGACUUCCUGAAGACGCAUCCAGCUAAAAAAGAAACCGAAUUUAUAUAGAGAGCACUAUAACUACAUAAAUUGAAUAUUUUAUAAAAAUUCCUAUAAAAUUAAAGUGUUUUUUUAAAUUU